rnacentral:lncRNA from 1 species
AAUUUCUUGCAGCCUAGCAAAGUGGUCAAGUGCAUGGACUCUGGGGCAGAAUGCUUGCACUCUGCAUACCUUGCACUGCCACGUACUAGCUGAGUGACUUGGGUAGAUUAGACAACUUCUCUGUGCCCAGUUGAUCUAAGUCCUGGUGGAGGAAGGGAAGAUUGCCAUCUCCUUUGCCCACUCUCUGCUCCACAGGCCUCACUAAUGUGCCAGAGCUUUCUGGGCACUGCCGGGGUUUGUUAUGACAGUUUAUCAAGGAGUUGGAGUUUCAGCAGCCAGGGAGCAGAGAGUAGGCCAAUGGGUGAGUUGGUGUUACACGUGGGACAAUAUCAUUUGCCCAAAUACUGGCGUUUAACGGGACCGUAUCUGAAAGACUUUUCUCUCUUCUGAAGAGGAUUUUGCUUGGAGUUAACACCUCAGAAUGCCGGUGUCUCCUGGUCCAUCUGGCUGGAUCCAAUAAUUUCCCUUCUGAAGUGGAUGCAAUCACAUUUCUGCACUGGCUGUCUCUAUGGAAGCUCCAGUCUUUCCCGGAGAGGCCAAGGCUGGUUUUCCUCCUUGCCUGGCGCUUUCUCCCUGCUUUUUCGGCGUGAGUCCCAGAUGUCAAGCUCCUGAAGUGGAUGAUGGACAGCACUUGCACUGGGGUGAGAAAAUGAUCCCACUGAGCACCGGGGUGUUCAGCCGGGAGGAGGGAAGCUGAUUUGCUGAUGGUGGGCACCGCCAGUUGGGGAAGGGCACUGUGCCCAAGCAGCCCCAGAAUACCUCUCCUUUUCUGAGCAGGAUGCGGCCGGUGGCCAGGAUGGACCCGGAGCGCCGAGGCAGCCUUGCUGUGCAGCAAUGACUUGAUGAGAACUUUGUCAGCAGGACCCAAGAAUAAUAUUUGAAAAACCAUGACCUGCCUCCCCGUUUCCAUCCAGAUGACGUCCUUUCUUGCUUUCC